GAAAUAUGAAGACCAAGUGAAAGCUGCUAACUUUUUUCUUUAAUGGUUAAAUUCCAUUUAUAUUUCU
rnacentral:tRNA from 1 species